rnacentral:rRNA from 1 species
UACGAAGGGGGCUAGCGUUGCUCGGAAUGACUGGGCGUAAAGGGCGCGUAGGCGGUUUGCACAGUCAGGCGUGAAAUUCCUGGGCUUAACCUGGGGGGCUGCGCUUGAUACGUGUGGACUGGAGUGCGGAAGAGGGUCGUGGAAUUCCCAGUGUAGAGGUGAAAUUCGUAGAUAUUGGGAAGAACACCGGUGGCGAAGGCGGCGACCUGGUCCGUGACUGACGCUGAGGCGCGAAAGCUAGGGGAGCAAACAGG